rnacentral:rRNA from 1 species
UACGUAGGGUGCGAGCGUUAAUCGGAAUUACUGGGCGUAAAGCGUGCGCAGGCGGUUCGUUGUGUCGGCGGUGAAAGCCCCGGGCUUAACCUGGGAAUGGCCGUUGAAACUGGCGAACUGGAGUGUGGCAGAGGGAGGUAGAAUUCCACGUGUAGCAGUGAAAUGCGUAGAGAUGUGGAGGAAUACCGAUGGCGAAGGCAGCCCCCUGGGAUAACACUGACGCUCAUGCACGAAAGCGUGGGGAGCAAACAGG